CUCGCCUGUUUAUCAAAAACAUGGCCUUUUGGUUUGCGUAAAAUAUGAAAGGUUUGACCUGCCCAGUGGUUUUGGCUAAACGGCUGCAGUGAGUAAUUGUACAAAGGUAGCGAAAUCAGUUGUCCUUUAAAUGGGGAAAGGUAUGAAAGGUUUGACGAUAAAAAAGCUGUCUCUUAAAAAUAUUAUGAAGUUUCCGUUUAAGUGAAAAGGCUUAAAUUUUUGAAAAAGACGAGAAGACCCUAUUGAGCUUGAUUAUAUUUUUUUAUUAGGGAGGAUUGAAGUUUUAUUGGGGCAAUAGGAAGCUAAAAAGAACGCUUCUUUUUAGAGUAGGGAUCCUUCAUGGGAGAAAUAAGCAAAAGCUACCAUAGGGAUAACAGCGUUAUCUUUCUUAAGAGUUCUGAUUAAGGGAAAGGUUUGCGACCUCCAUGUUGGAUUAAGAUAUCUUUUUGGUGCAGCAGCUAAAAAAGUAAGACUGUUCGUCUUUUAAAAUUUUACGUGAUCUGAGUUCAGACC
rnacentral:rRNA from 1 species